rnacentral:lncRNA from 1 species
GAGCGCCACGAUCUUUCUUCGGGUGUUUUUGGCUCUCGGAUCCAUUGCUUCGGUAUGUUGCAUCCGCUCUAGCGAUCUCCAGAUCCUGCAUAGUUUUAGUCAGCAGCUGGUAGACUCAAAUGCGUCGCUUACAAGCUGGAAGUUAGAAUCGCCAUGCUCGUCCUGGGAAGGCGUGUUGUGUCGCGACGAUGGCGUCACAGUGACAGCGGUCUUGCUAUACAACAAGUUCUUGACGGGUCAGAUAUCUCCUUCGCUGGGCCACCUGAAAUUCCUGCAACGCUUGGAUCUCUCCCAGAAUGGCUUGAGUGGAGACAUACCUGUGGAGCUCUUGAAACUCACCGAGCUGACGAUGCUAAGCCUUUCCAGCAAUCAGCUGUCUGGUCAAAUUCCCAGGCACAUGGAAAUGCUCGAGAACCUGGAAUAUCUAUACUUGUCAAGGAACAACUUGAGCGGGAGCAUACCUCGUAGCUUGGGAAGCUGUCGAAGGUUGAAAGAGCUGGAUGUUUCUGGAAAUUACCUCGAAGGAAAUGUGCCAGUUGAGCUUGGACAGCUUAGACGACUGGAAAAACUUGGCGUAGCCAUGAAUAAUCUCAGUGGAGGCAUCCCGGAUUUUACAAACUGCACGAAUCUCACGGACCUGGCGCUGUCGUUUAACAACUUAACAGGCAAUGUACAUCCAAGCGUGGCAACGCUGCCCCGGCUCCAGAACCUAUGGUUGAAUGACAAUCAGCUCAGUGGAGACCUUCCAGUAGAACUUGGAAGACACAGCAACUUACUAAUUUUAUACCUGUCCAGCAACCGGUUCACAGGCACUAUUCCCGAGAAUCUGUGCGUCAAUGGCUUUCUGGAGAGAGUAUACUUGCACGACAAUAAUCUCCAAGGCGAAAUCCCACGAAAGCUGGUCACAUGUCCCAGGCUCGAACGGUUGUUGCUGCAAAACAACAUGCUCACGGGUCAAAUCCCGGAAGAAGUCGGCCAGAAUCAAGUGUUGAAUUACCUGGAUCUCUCCAACAACCGGCUCAAUGGUUCUCUUCCAGCUUCGCUGAAUGACUGCAAAAAUCUGACGACGCUUUUCCUCGCAUGCAAUCGCAUUUCUGGAGACCUUAUCAGCGGGUUUGAGC